CCUACGGGCGGCAGCAGUGGGGAAUAUUGCACAAUGGGGGAAACCCUGAUGCAGCGACGCCGCGUGAGUGAAGAAGUAAUUCGUUACGUAAAGCUCUAUCAGCAGGGAAGAAAUACUGACCUUACGGUCAGCAGACGGUACCUGAGUAAGAAGCCCCGGCUAACUACGUGCCAGCAGCCGCGGUAAUACGUAGGGGGCAAGCGUUAUCCGGAUUUACUGGGGUGAAAGGGAGCGUAGACGUUGCGCCAAGUCUGGAGGGAAAUGCCGCAGCUUAACUGCGGAACUGCUUUGGAAACGGGCGAACUAGAGUGCGGGAGGGGUAAGCGGAAUGCCUAGUGUAGCGGUGAAAUGCGUAGAUAUUAGGAGGAACACCGGUGGCGAAGGCGGCUUACUGGACCGUAACUGACGUUGAGGGUCGAAAGCGUGGGGAGCAAACAGGAUUAGAUACCCCUGUAGUC
rnacentral:rRNA from 1 species